rnacentral:rRNA from 1 species
CCCUUAGAUGUCCUGGGCCGCACGCGCGUUACACUGAUGCAUUCAACGAGCUUAUAACCUUGGCCGAGAGGCCUGGGCAAUCUUGUUAACGUGCUUCGUGAUAGGGAUAGAUUAUUGAAAUUAUUAAUCUUGAACGAGGAAUUCCUAGUAAACGCAGAUCAUCAAUCUGCAUUGAUUACGUCCCUGCCCUUUGUACACACCGCCCGUCGCACCUACCGAUUGGAUGGUCCGGUGAAGCCUCGGGAUUGUGGUUCUUGCCGCUUUAUUGUGGCGUGACCGCGAGAACUUGUCUAAACCUUAUCAUCUAGAGGAAGGUGAAGUCGUAACA